rnacentral:lncRNA from 1 species
GUGCAAACAUUUGCUGUUAGGCUACAAUCUCUUGCAGCAGAAACUAUAAUUGAAGUAGCGAGCGCAAAUGAGCAGGAGUGAGCGGUAGUAGAAUAGUGCCAAAAAAAGGGAAUUGGACAAAAGAUUGCAAGUCCAAUUCUUGAAUGGGAUUAAUGACAGGAUCAAGAGAACUAUCAUGUCUCAUGAUCCGAAGACGUUAGAGGAAUUACUGUUAGUUGCUACAAGGGAAGAAUUAAUCAAUCAGGUGGUAGGCAAGCCAGGCCCUUAUGUGGGCAAAAUUGAAGAAAUCAAUGGAGUCAAUGUUACCGCUGAGGCAAUAGACCCAGUGGGGCUAUUGCUUCAGCAGGAGCAAACUUUCAAGCUUUCCGCGUUGACAAGGACACAGAAAGCUUGCAAACUGCCAUCAAACAAAUCAGCGACCGACUCAACAAG